rnacentral:rRNA from 1 species
AUUGAACGCUGGCGGCAGGCCUAACACAUGCAAGUCGAACGAGUGGCGGACGGGUGAGUAAUGUCUGGGAAACUGCCCGAUGGUGGGGGAUAACUACUGGAAACGGUAGCUAAUACCGCAUACCAUCGGAUGUGCCCUGAUGGGAUUAGCUAGUAGUGGGGGUAACGGCUCACCUAGGCGACGAUCCCUAGCUGGUCUGAGAGGAUGACCAGCCACACUGGAACUGAGACACGGAACGAGCUCCUAUGGGAGGGAGUAGUGGGGAGUAUUGCACAGUGGGCGGAAGCCUGAUACAGCCAUGCCGCGUGUAAGAAGAAGGCCUUCGGGUUGUAAAGUACUUUCAGCGAGGAGGCGUUACUCGAAGAAGAAGCACCGGCUAACUCCGUGCGAGCAGCCGCGGUAAUAC